rnacentral:rRNA from 1 species
AUUGAACGCUGGCGGCAGGCCUAACACAUGCAAGUCGAGCGGAGCGGCGGACGGGUGAGUAAUGCCUAGGAAUCUGCCUGGUAGUGGGGGAUAAAGUCAGGAAACGGGCGCUAAUACCGCAUCCUAUCAGAUACGUCUAGGUCGGAUUAGCUAGAUGGUGGGGUAAGGGCCUACCAGGGCGACGAUCCGUAACUGUCCUGAGAGGAUGAUCAGUCACACUGGAACUGAGACACGGGCCAGACUCCUACGGGAGGCAGCAGUGGGGAAUAUUGGACAAUGGGCGAAAGCCUGAUCCAGCCAUGCCGCGUGUGUGAAGAAGGUCUUCGGAUUGUAAAGCACUUUAAGUUGGGAGGCGUUACCAACAGAGUAAGCACCGGCUAACUUCGUGCCAGCAGCCGCGGUAAUAC